CCUACGGGUGGCAGCAGUGGGGGAUAUUGGACAAUGGGGGGAACCCUGCUCCAGCGACGCCGCGUGAGUGAAGAAGUAUCUCGGUAUGUAAAGCUCUAUCAGCAGGGAAGAAGAAAUGACGGUACCUGAGUACGAAGCCCCGGCUUACUACGUGCCAGCAGCCGCGGGAAUACGUAGGGGGCAAGCGUUAGCCGGAAUUACUGGGUGGAAAGGGGGCGUAGGCGGUGAUGUAAGUCUGGAGGGAAAGGCGGGGGCCCAACCCCCGGACUGCUCUGGAAACUAUGUGACUGGAGUGCAGGAGAGGAGAGCGGAAUGCCUGGUGUAGCGGUGAAAUGCGUAGAUAUUAGGAGGAACACCAGUGGCGAAGGCGGCUCACUGGACUGUAACUGACGUUGAGGCUCGAAAGCGUGGGGAGCAAACAGGAUUAGAUACCCGUGUAGUC
rnacentral:rRNA from 1 species